GAGAGAGAGAGAGAGAGAGAGAGAGAGAGAGAGAAAGAGAGAAAAGAAGGAAAGGACAAAAUUUUUGUUCUUAAAUUCUCUAUGGAAGCAUGAUUCUAAAAGUUUUACGCGGAUUAUCCUUCAUUGUCGUUUAGUUUGACAUUUUACGAGGAUACGUUUAACGGAGGAGAAUAUGUUUUGAACGUCAUUCGCAUUCCUAACGAAUCCAACAUUGAUUUUAAAGCUGGUAGUUCGAUAAUAUGGGUCAGUAGACUUUUCCCGAUAAGCUUGCUCUUUUGCUCUCAUCGUCGAUAGCGUUAAUACUACACGGCAUGGCACACCACACGUAAAUAUAUACGUACAUACAUACAUAAAUACAUAGAUACAAGUAUACAUAUACGUACAUA